rnacentral:rRNA from 1 species
AUUGAACGCUGGCGGCAGGCCUAACACAUGCAAGUCGAACGAGUCGCGGACGGGUGAGUAAUGUCUGGGAAACUGCGUGAUGGAGGGGGAUAUCUACUGGAAACGGUAGCUAAUACCGCAUACCAUCAGAUGUGCCCAGUGGCGAUUAGCUAGUUGUUGGGGUAACGGCUCACCAAGGCGACGAUCCAUAGCUGGUUUGAGAGGAUGACCGGCCACAUUGGAACUGAGACACGGCCCAGACUCCUACGGGAGGCAGCAGUGGGGAAUAUUGCACAAUGGGCGAAAGCCUGAUGCAGCCAUGCCGCGUGAAUGAAGAAGGCCUUCGGAUUGUAAAGUACUGUCAGCGGGGAGGCGUUACCCGCACAAGAAGCACCGGCUAACUCCGUGCCAGCAGCCGCGGUAAUAC